rnacentral:rRNA from 1 species
UAACAAGGAUUCCCUUAGUAACUGCGAGUGAACCGGGAAGAGCUCAAAUUUAAAAUCUGGCGGUUCUGCCGUCCGAGUUGUAAUCUGGAGAAGCGUUUUCCGCGUCGGCCCGUGUACAAGUCUCUUGGAAUAGAGCGUCAUAGAGGGUGAGAAUCCCGUCCAUGACACGGACUUCCGAUGCUUUGUGAUACGCUCUCAAAGAGUCGAGUUGUUUGGGAAUGCAGCUCAAAAUGGGUGGUAAAUUCCAUCUAAAGCUAAAUAUUGGCGAGAGACCGAUAGCGAACAAGUACCGUGAGGGAAAGAUGAAAAGCACUUUGGAAAGAGAGUUAAACAGUACGUGAAAUUGUUGAAAGGGAAACGCUUGAAGUCAGUCGCGUCGUACGGAGCUCAGCCUUGCUUCUGCUUGGUGUAUUCUCCGUGUCGACGGGUCAUGCAUAUCAAUAAGCGGAGGAAAAGGGCUUAGGGAAUGUAGCGUUGUUUCGGCGACGUGUUAUAGCCUUAGGUCGUAUGCAUCGGUUGGGAUUGAGGACCGCAGCACGCCCUUGUGGCCGGGGGUUCGCCCUACGUUCGUGCUUAGGAUGU